CUAGCACUUUCACAGGUUCUCCCUGAGGCUUUGGGGCCAGGCUUUGGUAGUUGGUGCUGAGAGAAAACCUUGAUUAUAUCCUUGCCCUGGUACUGUGCCAGGGGCAGCUGUCACUCAAUGGAUAAUU
rnacentral:snoRNA from 1 species